CCGCCAGCAGGUGCUCCGAGGUGGAGUGGAAGUGGAACUGGGUGGGCACGGCAGUCACGCGGUCGGAGGCGUCGUUGGGGCGCAUCUCCAGCACGUCCACGAUGCGGUUGCUCUGGUUGCGCAUGGCUGCGAGCACGUGGGAGGACGGGCAUGGGGGGCGAGAAGAGGUCAAGACGGUACGUGGAUAUGCCUAUCUGGGAAGCACUAACACUUGUAAGCAUCAAGGACCGAUGUCGUCAUGGGAAGAAAAGGGGCCAGUGAUUGCGGAUUGGGUUGUCGACAGGGCCUGCACUGGCGUAAUGCGGUAGAUGCAGCACCAGCUGACGCACCAGGGAUGGCGAUGGUGGCAUGGCCGGCGUAGUCGUAGGUCCACUGCACCUGGAUGGUGUGGCCUGAGAGCAGGAUGGAGUGGCGGGAUGGAGGCAGGCAGGCAAAAUGCUUCAGUCAGGUUUAGCGGAAACACCACGUGCUUGCAUGGAUUGGGUCUGGUGCUUGAAUCCUUGACACAACAGACCCCAAGCGCCGUGGUGUCUCAGCUACCGCACAAGGCGGGGUGACCAAGCGUGCUCGCACUCCACGCUACCGGCUUGUGGACUGCGUCCCUUUUGUAGCAAAUGCAACUAAACGGCUUGGCGCCAUGAAUCCUUUCUGUGCGGUCCGCCGCGUUGCAAAAGCCCACCGGCCACCUUGCCGUCUCUCUCGCACCGUUGUUGAUGACUUGAACCGAGCUGCCGUUGGACAUCAGGUCAGGGUACGACCACUGCAGUAUUAAUAAGGCAGGGAAAGAGAAUGGAGAGUAACGGGGCCUUAAAAACCCGCUGUCAAUCUGGCUGGCGUUGCGGCACAAAACCGGCCGUUGAUCGCAAUCAGGAGGUUCGCACCAGCAAAACCGGGCCACCCAACCAUGGAAACCCUGAUGCCUCCCAUGUUAGGAUGCUUGAAACCAUUGCCCCUGCUCCAGUCUACGCGCAAGCACGCUUCGGGGCGCAAGCCAGGCGGUUAAGUUGGAUGGCGCCGUGACAGGCACACACCCUCGCACACGCGGCGCAAGGCGGCGCACUACGCUGGCCUGUUGUGUCAUGCUGGCUACUCACCUGGGUCUGCAGGCCGGUGGCAAUCUUGGAACCCUUCCCGUCCAGGACAUGGUACUGGGGCACGUUGAUGGGCGACUGCGCGUGCGGUUGCGGGGGAGGAAGGGGCGGGAGCGAAUUCGAGGGCAACCUCCCAGAAAGUUCACGUGACAAUGCCCAGUCGGCAGAAACUCUCAACAUGUAUUGUUACGGACCUGCUUGCGGCCAGUCUUGCAGACCCAGGGGUUGCCCGCGCCGUCCUUGCCCUCCCUGCGUGCGAUGGCGAAAAAAGUCCGUUUGGUCUCUCAUGGCCUCGCCGCGAUCCCGCGCAACCAACGCAAGCGCCUAGCGCCGCACUAAUAAUUCAGGGGUGCAAAGCAGUGGGUGCCGGACGGCGGCCACAAGUCACUCCAUUCAUGUGAGCAGGCCAGGUCCUUACCAGUUCUCGCCAUUGAGACUAUGAUCCCAGUGGUCGCCUGUGUGAGUGGCCUGUCAAACAAAAGCGAGGGCGCAAGCGGCGGUCAGGACUCACCCAAGCAACGGGCAUGCCUGCCCGAAGCUGCGCAGAAUGCCGACUAGUAGUAAUACCCAUGGAUAUGACUUCAUUUGCAGCCGGAAACGAGCAGUUGAAUGCUCAGUGACGCAGUCGCGGUGAGACAUUCACGUUUAUGCCAAACGGCAACCAGGGGCCAAAACAACAUCCUCGUUCCAACUCGCACUUGAUCAUUGCGAGACAUGCAGCUUCGGACGUGCGCACCUUGGAGUCCGGCGACGUGCCGAACUUGUAGAUGCAAGCCUGCGCGCAGCCCGCAAGCGCCAGCGCGGCCAGGAGUAGAGCGCCAGUACGCGCCAUGGUGUUCAAUUGAUCAAUUGUAGUAACAAACUAUCCCAAAUUGCCCUACGAAGCAUGCUUUUAUCGCGCCGAAAAGCGUGGCAUCAAGCCGUACUUUCAUCGUCAGCGCGCCAGGAUUGCCAGCCAGCAAGCUUUACAACAGACAUAUAUACAAACCAGUUGUUUGUCGCGGACGUGGGCGAGCCGCUGCAUCUGAAGCCGCGCCGCUCUGCAGCUUGGAGCGGGCCGUUGUCUGCCAUCAGAUUGCAUGAGUCACACGAGGAAGUUUCAUGUGAGCGCCUGUCGGGCUCCGUGCGUUUGGGCUUCGACUCGCUGCAUGUCUGCGCCUUGCCCCCGCCUCCAGCUGUCUCCAGCCCCCCUCCCCCCGGCCCCCGCUCCCCUGGAGCUCCCCUUUCGGCAAUAACCAUGGCUGGCCUCGGACGACGACUGUCAGCCUUGCUCUGCGGUUGCCUCUGGUGCUCAUCCGUGGAUGCUGGUCACCUUCCUGCAGGUGCGCUGCGACUCUGCUUACUUCACGAGUGGGGCGUUGCGAUGCGUAUGUCUGGUGCUAUCGCCUGGUUGGGCGCCCAAAGCGUGAGGAAUGCGCGUCAGCAAACUUCCAGCCAGCCAGCAACUUGUCGGUACAGUAAGCCCAGCGUUCGGCCAGCCGCGCGCUCAUGCAAAUUGUUUACCAUCUGCUGGGUCUGGGAAAUCAGCUGCACCCUACAUGACUUCACCAACCUGGCUUAACACCGUCCCAUCGCACACGCUUUCGGCAACAAGCAUAUCCGCAUGGCCAGAGGCUGCCGUUCACAUUCCCACUGCUUGAUCUUGCCGUGUGAUGUGACAUUACUUGACGGGACUGUGGCGGGUGCUCCCAUCAAAACCCGUGCCGAGAGCCCUAAGCAGUUUAUGGCUAGUCACCAAGUCCUCUUACCGGAGUUGCUGCGACAGGGACAGUCCGACCACCAAAAGUGCGUCAUUGAGGCAGAACGAAAAGCGUGAACACAAGCAGCGACAGCAGCUCCUUGUACCGUUGACAUAACGGCGUGCCAGGCGUCGCGGCAAUCCACGGCCCAAAGCUCGGGACACACAGUGUGUGGCGUUGCGGUGUGUGUGUGUGUGUGUGUGUGUGUGUGUGUGUGUGUGUGUGUGUGUGUGUGUGUGUAUGUGUGUGUGUGUGUGUGUGUGUGUGUGUGUGUGUGUGUGUGUGUGUGUGUGUGUGUGUGUUGCUAUCCCCUGGCGAUGAGGUAGACACUUGCGGCCUCAGACGGGAGGCGUGACUUGUGCCCACUUUUGGGGCGCAGCCCACGUUUUCCCUUUGCGAGGGACACCCAGGGCCUUUUUUGUCCAUGGGCAUCUUACAUGUCGUACACGUCUCUGCCUCAACUGCACCGUUGUAGCUACCUCGCUCCCCACAUCCUGCACGUCUUAAAACAUCCGGUCAGCGUCUCCUGUCCUCCAUCUCCAAGAAAACAAUGCUUCACAUUCGACAUGGCUAUGGGAUUGCCCAGCCAGGCCUUGCAGCUACUGGAGAGCAACUGCAUUGAUCGGCAUGUGCGACGGCGCGCAUGAGGCCAGCCCGCCAACAACCCAGCCAGCCAGACAGAGGCCGGACCGUGCAUGCUGGCAACCAUACCGUGCUGAAGCGCCCCACACCAGCCUUAUAUAACUUGCAUAAGUACGGAUCACUCAUCGAGGAGAACCGGUGCCUCCCCUGUACGCAAAUGUCUCGCGUGCAGACACUCUCGAUUGCUGUCGAAGUUCCCGUUAUUACCCGCGUACGCCCUCUACGUACGUAUUACUUGCCUCACUACCAUCCAUCGCCACAACGUCCGGCCCACUGACUUUAUUCCGCUCUCAGACUGCCCCAUCGUGGAACCAACUCCAUACCUUCCUUACUUCUUUACUAGUCAGGAGAAAACAGGAGGUCCCGCCGCCCGUCCGGUACUGUGUGUAUGCGUGCUGCACCGCAGAACUAUUUCGGUGUACUAUGGAAAAAAUUGGAAAGGCCCGCCAAGCGCGGGUCGUCAAGAACACCAUCGAAUGACACACCAAACCGUGAAGCAAAGCCUGGAAAAUGGAAUGCCUGCUGGCCGUGCCGACGGUGGUAGCGUGACUAACUACUGGGAAGUUUAGUGAUAGCGGGCCAGCUUGAUGGUGCGGCCGUUGGCGUACUGGGGGUUGCGGAAGUUCUGGCCAAAGGCAACGGCCUUGCAGGUGUCUGUCGCAUUGGGGGGGAGGCAAAGAGGGAGGCAAUAAGGUCGGGGUUAGGGGGCGUUACAAAAGAAACACGGCGCGCAGGCGCGCAGGCACACGCAGGAGUGGACGACCACGUGCACGGACUUGCUUGGCAGCAGCUCGGACCGACUAUUGGGCAGACGCAAUCCAAUGGAACUCAGCACGCAUGACUCGGUGUCUCCCCUUGGGGGAGCCUUUGGGAUACCGCGCCCUCGCCCAGCUUCUAGGGUACAAUGCAUGCCGGUACUCCCUUUUUACCACUCUCAGGUAAACUCACAGGCAUCGGGGUUCGCGGACUCGGCCAGCAUCACGCGGCGGAAGUAGUGCUUGGGCUCGGAGGUGGCGGCAGGCACCUCCUCCAGGUGCGCGUGGUUGUGCAGCAGGCGGCGGUGGUGGUGGUGGUGGCCGGCGUCCGCGGCGGUCUGCACGCGUGGUAAAUGAACAUGGGCAGCACAUAGGCGUGCGUGACAGGAGCACUGACCAGUGACGCAGAUUUGACCCGGCAGCCGCCACCGUCACCCGACACCUCGCUCUUCUUGCCCGUUCCCAGGACUCCCCCGUUUGUAGGGGCGUCUUACCUCCGUGGAGUUGCACUCCUUCAGGCCCACAGCCAGGCGGUAGCGGUUCCACUGGCCGAAGCUGAUGCGCUGCGGCUGGGUCAUGACGUGCCACAGCAGGCCCUCGCUGCAGGGCGGGGUGGUGAGGCUGCCCUCGUACGUUACGUAGUCGCGGUCGCUGGGCAGCAGCUCACCCAGCUUGAUGGUGGUGCCCGCCGGCAGGUUGCUGAAGGUGCCCUCGCGCGAGGGCAUGUUCGCAAAGAUGGCUGCAGAGGACGGGCCGAUGAAGUGUGGCGAUCAGUAAACGUGCAAACGAGCAUGUAAGGGCACAACAGAGGAUGAAAUAGAGGCACUGGAUGAGGCACCUCCUGAGAAGCGCUCAGCGGUCUGCCAUGCACGUACGUACCAAAUCCACACAAACCGUGACAGCUUCGUACAAACCCGCCCCCGCCCCGCCUCCACCACCCCGCCCCUGCUGCCCGACUCACGCUCAAGCAGCUCGUUAUCGGGGCCGUUGUCGAGCUGGAACAGGAUGCCGGUGACGCUGAAGCAGCCGCCCUUGCAGGCCUCCAGCUUCUCAGUCACCUGGUGCACAAUGUGCAACUCAAGGGGAUAGAUCUUGCCUGUAGGCGGUAGACGUAACGAAGGAAAGGCACCAGCGGAUGUGUUGUGUGCGGAAGGCAGGUGCUAGGUGGGGUGGGGGUUGGGACUUGUGGGACCUUUCGUUUGGUUGGAGCCCAUUGCCUACUUAGAGCUUUACACCUCUCCCAACACCCUUCUCAACACCCGCCCCUGUCAAAAGUCAAGAGUUGCGCCCACGCCCACGCACCCGCCAGCAGGUGCUCCGAGGUGGAGUGGAAGUGGAACUGGGUGGGCACGGCAGUCACGCGGUCGGCGGCGUCGUUGGGGCGCAUCUCCAGCACGUCCACGAUGCGGUUGGUCUGGUUGUGCAUGGCUGCGAGCACGUGGGAGGAGAAGGAGGAGGUUACCAAUGACGUGAGACAAGAUACGCGGCGUUGGCACGCUAUGGUACCGAAUAGAUAGGAGAUGCAGAGAUGCAGCACCAGCUGAC
rnacentral:lncRNA from 1 species